rnacentral:rRNA from 1 species
UGCAGUCGAACGGCAGCGGGGGCUUCGGCCUGCCGGCGAGUGGCGAACGGGUGAGUAAUGCAUCGGAACGUACCCAGUCGUGGGGGAUAACUACGCGAAAGCGUAGCUAAUACCGCAUACGCCCUGAGGGGGAAAGCGGGGGACCUUCGGGCCUCGCGCGAUUGGAGCGGCUGAUGUCGGAUUAGCUAGUUGGUGGGGUAAAGGCCUACCAAGGCGACGAUCCGUAGCUGGUCUGAGAGGAUGAUCAGCCACACUGGGACUGAGACACGGCCCAGACUCCUACGGGAGGCAGCAGUGGGGAAUUUUGGACAAUGGGCGCAAGCCUGAUCCAGCCAUGCCGCGUGAGUGAAGAAGGCCUUCGGGUUGUAAAGCUCUUUCAGACGGAAAGAAAUCGGGCGCGUGAAUAGCGUGCCUGGAUGACGGUACUGUCAGAAGAAGCACCAGCUAACUACGUGCCAGCAGCCGCGGUAAUACGUAGGGUGCGAGCGUUAAUCGGAAUUACUGGGCGUAAAGCGUGCGCAGGCGGUUGUGUAAGACAGGUGUGAAAUCCCCGGGCUUAACCUGGGAACUGCGCUUGUGACUGCACGGCUAGAGUACGG